GAAUUCAGAGGGGGCGGUAUAUCAAGAUUUCAUGGAGUCAAUACCUAGGUUAGAUGAGGAUGGUGCAUGUGGGUAAUGGGGAUUGAGGAGGCGAAUCCAGGGAUCUUACUCACUUGAUGGCUUCGUUCCGCAACCGGAAGGACCGUCUGCCAUGGUGAAACAUAGGCUGCGAGCAAGGAAGGUAUUGUAGAUAUUUUGGACGAUUACGAGGUUGUCAUCACUUUCCUUGUGCAUCUCAUGGAGAAUGCAAGGCGUAGCCACCGGAUGGGAUGACGCACGUCCUGGUCAAUCUCAAUGUCCAAUGGGAGAUGGUUGAAUCCUGCAUGGUGAAUGAAUCUAGGAUGAGAG
rnacentral:lncRNA from 1 species